rnacentral:sRNA from 1 species
CCUACCCCUCACCUAUUGAAGUACUCUGGAGAAUGGAUGUCUCCCAUCCAUGUGACCACACAUACAUCAUCCAGAAAGCAGAGUAGAUCUGGCCCUGCUAGCAUGGGCACAGGACAGCCGACCCUGAGAACAUGAGAACUGGAGAGUUGCCUCUGCCGGCUGUAGCAUUUGGUGACUCCUGACUGCCACUCUGCACCCCACUUAGCAGCUCGCCCCAAUUGUUCAUGCUCGGGGCUGCAGCCAAUCUCUCCACUCCUUUAGCAUACCAGGAUGUCUUCCUCUAGCCUUCAUACCUGCCAUUCUUUGUGUGUGAGAUGCAGUUGUCUGUUGGUAACACCAGGGGUGCCCUCCUCAGCUUCAGAUCUCACUGAAGUGUCAUAGGACCAAAGGGCUUUACGUCCCCUCUGUUCUGCAGAGAGGUUCUACAGAUUGACAUUCACGAUGAGAGAAAGCGUGCGCUGUUUCUCUGAUCUGACCGUCUCCAGCUGUGUCUACUUUCAGGACCAUCUCACUGUGUUUCAUCCUGGCUGAGAUAAGUGUACAAACAGCACCACCCUUGUAGAGUUGUGAGGAUCCUGUUUGCACUAACAUUGAUAUAAAUAUAAACAUCUUGGCACAGUGCAGAUAUAUUCUAUUGCCAAAAAAAACUCAAAUAAGCAUCUGUCAACCAAUAUUCAAUAGGCUUUAAGGUAACAUUUCUAAAAAAAAAAUCUGUGGAUUCUAGGAUCUCCGGAGU